UGUGGUCAUGAAGCUGCUUGAGUCCAGACUUUGCAGCUAGGAGUUGUCCUAUUGGUUACCUCAUGCCAGCCACCAACCCCUUCAAAUCCAGCAUUUCUUUAAUAGGGCCUAUCCCCAAUGUGAUGAUGCAGUGUGGGCCAUUAACAUUUAUACAAGAAUGUGUAAGGACAUGAAUACUUUUCUUCAUACAACUUUGGCUGAUGUUGUUGGUGUGUGUGGCAAUCCAAAUAACACCUGCAAAGAUGGGAUGAGUAGAAACUGUCAUGACAGUUCAUCUUGGGUAUCUGUAACUAUCUGUAAACUCACAACUCCAGCAAGCCAUUAUAUGGAAUGCAGAUACCAAAUGACAUGAUCAGUGAAGUACUACAGAGUGGCCUGUGAGAACAGAACUUCAUGGGACAGUCCCACUUAUCCAGUGGUUCUGGUUUACUGGGAUAGGAUA
rnacentral:lncRNA from 1 species